UACAGAGGGUGCGAGCGUUGUUCGGAAUUACUGGGCGUAAAGCGCGCGCAGGCGGCUCUCUAAGUCUACGGGUGAAAGACCGGGGCUCAACCCCGUGUCAGCCCGGGAUACUGGGGAGCUAGGGACAUGUAGGGGCGAGCGGAAUUCCGGGUGUAGCGGUGGAAUGCGUAGAGAUCCGGAAGAACACCGGGGGCGAAGGCGGCUCGCUGGGCAUGGUCCGACGCUGAGGCGCGAAAGCGUGGGGAGCGAACAGG
rnacentral:rRNA from 1 species